ACGCUCGACACCUACGCAGCAGUGAGGGAUAUUGGUCAAUGGGGGAAACCCUGAACCAGCAACGCCGCGUGAGGGAUGACGGUCUUCGGAUUGUAAACCUCUGUCCUCUGUGAAGAUAAUGACGGUAGCAGAGGAGGAAGCUCCGGCUAACUACGUGCAGCAGCCGCGGUAAUCUGAGCGGGCUGGCAAGGC
rnacentral:rRNA from 1 species